rnacentral:rRNA from 1 species
CCUACGGGUGGCAGCAGUGAGGAAUAUUGGUCAAUGGGCGCAAGCCUGAACCAGCCAAGUCGCGUGAGGGAAGACGGUCCUAUGGGUUGUAAACCUCUUUUAGCGGGGAACAAAAGACGCCACGCGUGGCGUUCCGAGAGUACCCCAAGAAAAAGCAUCGGCUAACUCCUUGCCAGCAGGCGCGGUAAUACGGAGGAUGCGAGCGUUAUCCGGAUUUAUUGGGUUUAAAGGGUGCGCAGGGGGAGGAUCAAGUCAGCGGUAAAAUUGAGGGGCUCAACCUCGUCGAGCCGUUGAAACUGGGGUCCUUGAGUGAGUGAGAAGUAUGCGGAAUGCGUGGUGUAGCGGUGAAAUGCAUAGAUAUCACGCAGAACUCCGAUUGCGAAGGCAGCAUACCGGCGCUCAACUGACGCUCAGGCACGAAAGUGUGGGUAUCGAACAGGAUUAGAUACCCUUGUAGUC